rnacentral:rRNA from 1 species
CCUACGGGAGGCAGCAGUGGGGAAUCUUGCGCAAUGGGCGAAAGCCUGACGCAGCCAUGCCGCGUGAAUGAUGAAGGUCUUAGGAUUGUAAAAUUCUUUCACCGGGGACGAUAAUGACGGUACCCGGAGAAGAAGCCCCGGCUAACUUCGUGCCAGCAGCCGCGGUAAUACGAAGGGGGCUAGCGUUGCUCGGAAUUACUGGGCGUAAAGGGCGCGUAGGCGGACAGUUUAGUCAGAGGUGAAAGCCCAGGGCUCAACCUUGGAAUUGCCUUUGAUACUGGCUGUCUUGAGUACGGGAGAGGUGUGUGGAACUCCGAGUGUAGAGGUGAAAUUCGUAGAUAUUCGGAAGAACACCAGUGGCGAAGGCGACACACUGGCCCGUUACUGACGCUGAGGCGCGAAAGCGUGGGGAGCAAACAGGAUUAGAUACCCUGGUAGUCCACGCCGUAAACGAUGAGUGCUAGUUGUCGGCAGGCAUGCCUGUCGGUGACGCAGCUAACGCAUUAAGCACUCCGCCUGGGGAGUACGGUCGCAAGAUUAAAACUCAAAGGAAUUGACGG